rnacentral:rRNA from 1 species
GACGAACGCUGGCGGCGUGCUUAACACAUGCAAGUCGAACGGAAAGGCCCUGCUUGCAGGGUGCUCGAGUGGCGAACGGGUGAGUAACACGUGGGUGAUCUGCCCCUUACUUUGGGAUAAGCCUGGGAAACUGGGUCUAAUACUGGAUAGGACCAUGCUGUAGGUGGUGUGGUGGAAAGAUUAGUUUCGGUAAGGGAUGAGCUCGCGGCCUAUCAGCUUGUUGGUGGGGUAAUGGCCUACCAAGGCGUCGACGGGUAGCCGGCCUGAGAGGGUGGACGGCCACAUUGGGACUGGGAUACGGCCCAGAACCCUACGGGGGGGAGCAGGGGGGAAUAUUGCAAAAGGGGGGAAAGCCUGGUGCAGCGGCGCCGCGGGGGGGAUGACGGCCUUCGGGUUGUAAACCCCUUUCAGCCAUGACGAAGCCCUUGGGGGGACGGUAGUGGUAAAAGAAGCCCCGGCUAACUACGG